UGUAGUAGUGGGUUUUUUUGAUAGCCACAUCAAGGUUGUGGUUUGCUAAGUUGCCUGAGUAGGAUCAUAGGGUCAGGGUGACAGUACUGAAAGUUCAGAGGCAAACUUCCUAGUGAUGAAUUGGUGGUGGUGAGAAGUUCUGGUGUGACUGAAGUGAUCUGUGGAUGGCACCUUUCAGACAGUGCGGUUGUAUGAGCUUCCUGAUGUGGUCCCAGUAUUGCAUCCCCUUUCUGUCUGCCCUGUGCUGGAGCCUGCCGACGGUGUGCUACCUCUUGUAAUGAUCCCUGCAGCUAGGAAAGAGCUCACUGGCUUAAUCCUUCCAUCCAUUUCUUAUGCAGGGAAAGAGAGAGGGGGUGGGAAGGGACACACGGGUGAAAAUUUCUGGCUGGAGGACCUGAGCAGGGCUGUGCUGCAGCACUUUGUUUCCACUCUGUCUUGUCUCCCACCUGGUCCUUAACAAUACCACUGUGGAUGGCCCAGCCCCAGACAACAGUAAUCAUUGCUUCCACGAGUCCUAUUGGUAACUGGUUUUGAUCUGCUUCUGGCUGCAUGGAGCCUGGACUGCAAGCCUCAAAGUAAGGGGCUUCUUCUGUGAGAUAGCUCCCUGAGCAGCUUUCCAGAAAAAGAUCAUCUAUUCUCAAAGCUCAAAACCCCAAGGGAGAAUACAGAGGAGCUGUGACUGAAGAAAAGACUGAGUUGGGGAUUUCAUGAAAAUGUGCAAUCUGAGCUGCCUGUGAUUUCUGCUAUUCUUUGCAUUCAUAUGGGAUCCAUGGACUCUGUACCUGACCAUGCUUUCCAGAUUGCUGACAUGAGAUACAUGAGCAAGAAUUAAUGAAUUAAGACCUCAGGAUCUUUGCAUUGUAAAAAAUCAAGACAGGUGUAAUGAGAAGUCUGUUGCAAACAAAUAACCUCACUUCUUAGACUUGAAGGUUAAAUAAUUCUGUAUAUAUUAGCAAAAUAAAUUACAAAGCAAAUGUUCUCAGGCACUGCAUCCAGAGGGACUCCAUUUUGCAGCUAAUUUAUUACUUGUUUUCAUGUUAGUUGGCCUGUCAGAAGAGCUACUUGUCCCCUGCAUGAGGUGUUAUUGUUGCUGCUAGAUGCUGUUCUCUGCUAACAGAAAUAACACUUUCCGAGUUUAAGAAUGAGAGACUAUAAAGCCCACAGAAACGAACAGCCUAGCACCGGGCAAACACUUGGCCUAGCAAACAAAAUGUGCCUUUUUGGUUUUGUGUCAUUGGCUAAGGUUAAGCUUUCCCCUAAGGGCGCAGGAGCGGACUGUGGGUGUUUACUGGAAGGGGCAGGAAGCGCAGGGUGCGGACGAAGCCCAGCUGAUGCCGGGCAGUGCAGCGCUGCGCAGGAGGCAGAUGCUUGUGCUGCUGAGUCACGGGUGGUUUGGAUUUUGUCCUUAAAGUUCCAGCUUCCGGAGUCAGGUGAACGUGUAAUUAGCGCAAGGCUUGGCUUUUGUCUUGCAAUUGUACUGUUUGAAACCUGAGAGCUUUGCAUUGUUUUAGUGCACCUCCCUAACUUGAACGCUGGGCAGUAAACCUGAAAUACAGUGUCAGAGGUUUCGUGGCAUUUUUUCUUCUCUGCCAUGUGUAGGAGCUGAGGCCUAAAGGAAAAUACUGCAUGUUCCUCCACUUGCUGCAAAAUCACCAGACCUGGUGUACUAGGUGUAAACAACUCCGCAUCCAGUGCAGCAGGGCGUGCUGGCUGCCUCCUGCACCAGCCUCCUGGCAGCACCAUGGCUGGGACCAAAGCAGAAGCCCACUUGCCAUGCCCCAUGCCAGAAACACAAGAUUUCAGAAAAACGGGGUUUAAGCCUUGCCCUUGACACCUCCGUUCAAAAAGCACUUUUGAAAUGAUCAGGAGUGAUAUUUUGGCCAUACCAGCUCAUUCAAGCAUUUGGAUCGCUGCUAGAAGUGUGAAGCGUGAGGGGCUGUGGAGCCCAGGUCUCGCAUAAGUCUUAUGUGUGAAACUGAGUGUAGUUUGUACAGCAAAUAGGUGAAACUCUGCCGAUUUAAUUCAGAAUGUAGUAAUUGGCAGCAGUUCAGACUCAGAAGACCAACUGUUAUUCAGGGGUGUGUGUGUGACAUUUAUUUGUAAUCACUGCUGGCACAGUAAAGGAAUGUGCGUGCUUUUAUUUUUGCUGUGUGGCUUUGCAAGCCUCUCUGCAUAACAAGGGCCUACUGAUCUCAAUUGAAGCAGUGUUCACUGAAGCAGUUGUCUUUUUAUUUGCUUCCAGAGAGGUGUAGUUGUAAAUAAAUUAAUCCUGAGUUGCCAGCUUACUGUUGGCAAUCCUCUGUUCGAGUUGAGGCACGAUCCUUGCAGUCAUGCCUGCGUGCCAAGGAGGACCUGGUUAAUGCCUGUCAACAGAAACCCUUGCUGAAUGCAGGAGUCGUAAGUUACCGGUUCCUCGACUGGCUUGCGUAGAAGAGACAGUCUUUCACCUCUUUUCCCUAUUAAUUAUAGGGCUGGGUACUGAAUGAUCCAGAACCCUGUUUAGGAGACGUGGCCACUCCCUUAGGAAUGGGAUGCCAUUUGCCCAUCACUCUGAAAGCAUUGCUCGCCCCCUGAGGCUUAUGGUUAAAAAUAAAAACCUUAUACAACCCAAGUACUGAUAACAGAGAUGGGCUAGAGAGGUGUGCAGAAAUAAAAUAUUUUUUUAAUUUCUAAUGAGUAACUUUUAAUCCUCCUGCCCCCAUUUAAUUGAACUACAAAGAUUUUGGGGGUACUUGUGAGAGGUGGAAGUGCUUCAUCCUAAAUCUUGCCUUUGUUAAAGGGAGCUCUUGAUUAAGAGAGUGCGGUCUUCCUUUGCAUGGAAACAGGAGAUUUUGAGUGUAUAUUCAGCAUUCUUCAUUCCCCUGCUGUAAAUUUCUUGAUCAAUUAGUUAUUCAUGGCAUUUGUUCUAGCACUCUUCCUACCAGGUCAUUGACCUUUCCACUUUUUAAGGCUGGAACAGCUGAUGCCAUUUGGGUCAGAGCAGAGCUCUCCUUCUCAGAGCAAUGACUUCCCUAGUGCUUCCCACACUGAAAACAAAUCACAGAGUGUACCUUCUGCCUAGCAGGGCCGUUUUCACAUCAGUGUAGAAGCCCAUUUUCAUACAGAAGCUGUUUUCCUGCAAAUACAAAUGUUUUAGUGAUUAUAGUGAUUUAGGUGACCUAAAUAAGCUACUAACAUUGGAGUGUGUUCAUAAAGUUCUUAAAGCACAAAGAUCAGAAGCUAGAAAUCUUGGAGGUGGGUAGGUUUUUGUAUGUGGUGUGGUUUGGGUUUUUGGUUUGUUCAGUUGUUUUCAUUUUAUUAAAAAACUGUCUUAUUGCAGAGGGAAUCCUAAAAAAUAUUACUCUAGGACUUCUUAAAUUACUAGAAACCAAGGAAAACAAGUUAAAUUAUAGAAGUUUGCAUAUGUAAUAUAUAUAAAAUGCAUACUUAAUAUAGAGGUGUAGGCACAAGCAGACUAUUGUGAUUUUUGGACUUGCACAGGUUUGUUGUGCUUUGUGCCAGUGAUGGGAAAGGCAUGAGGUUGGACUGAAGCUGUAGCAGUACAUGGAAGGUGAGGGACCUUUUUGGAAGGGCUGACUUAACGUGGGCAAAUGAGGUGGUCUGGAGCUGAAAUGACAAGAGAGAUGCAUGUCAGCUGUGUGUGGCAGGGCAGGAGGUCAAGGCAGAAGAAAAAUGGUAAGAAAAGGCAUGAAACCAACAGGUAAUGCUUGCCUAAUUCUUCAGCAAAGCUCUGGGAACUCCGCUUGCAACAGCAACCAGAGAAAGGAAAGCAAAUGUUUUUGGUGACCCUGAUACAAGGAAAAAAAAGAAUGUGAGAGCUUUGCUGAAGAACUUUAGAUGUGUUUGAUAUUAAGUCCUUUUGGGGAAGGAUAACUUGAAAAGUCUGGUUUGGUUGAUAGGAAAAAAGAGUCCAUUUUGGGAAUGGAGUAGUGAUUGGAAAUGCUAUGCAAAUAGUAACAGGUGUCCACAGGAUACCUCUCUAGGUAAGCCAAAGGGGGUGUGUUACUUCAAAAUGAAGUCUGUAAAAGACAGAAGGGGACUGACUUUGAUACCUUGUUCUGCUUACAAGUAGUGGCCUCAGUAUAAAGUCUGGUUUUCUUCACUAUGGGCCUGAACAGUUCCCUCCCCAAUCCAGCUGGUCAGGGUAAUGUAAACUAUUUCUGUUUCUCCUUCCUUGCUAUUUGCAGGAUAAAGAGUUUGGUUGGAUUUUUUUUUUUAAAUAUAUAGCAGGCAUGUCAUUAACUUCAUUAAAGAGGUUAAAUUAACUUAAUUUUUUGUUGUUGUUGUCAGUGUCCCCCUUCCCUGUUUAACUCUCAUCUUUAUCUCCUCAGAGAACAAACGCCAGUCCUGGGGCAGCUGCAGUAUCUCUUGGGCCAACCCUACUAUACAAUGAAGGAAGUCUGAAACUGACUUUUUUCUUUUUUUUUUCUUCAUCAGACCUUGUACAUGAGCUAAACCCUUACUGAAGACAAAUUACUUGAUGCCUUCCCAGGGUUUCUCUGCAUUGUUUGUGAAAAAGAAUUGAAGUUUACAGUAUGAGUGUGCACUGAAGCUUUUUGUAAUUGAGCAGGAGUUUCUGGUGAACAAUGACUUCAAAUCAUAGCAGAAAUUUCCAUUCCCUUCUUCAGCAACAACAUUGGAAAUAGGCGUGUAGUUUGGUGACUGCUUUAUGAGAUAUCUUGGUUGCAGAGACGGGCAUAUAUGUGUUCCCUUGAAGAAAAAGGAAGAACCGAAACUUGCUUUGUUCUUCAGAUAAGACUGUUUCUAUUCUCUGUCCUUAUACAAAGUCUGGAGCUGUGGGCUGGAGGGAGUCCCAGGAGCCAGUUAUCUGUGCCUCUGUGCUGAUGUGAGGUCAAGUGUACUUGGCCCUCCCUAACCCAUGUUCUGCUAGUGUCUGCUCUUGAAAACCUCCGGGGAGGAUUUUCCAGUCUCCCUAGCUAGUCUAACUUUGUGUUUCAUCUCUUUCUCAGUGCUUUCAGCAUUUUCGCUGCUAUUUAAGCUGUGCUAGUUGUUGCAAAUUAAGCUAAAGUUCUUGUUUUCUUUUUUCUAGCAGCCAUGGGAAAAUAAUUGCUUCUUGCCUUCUUUUAGUUUGAAAAAUGAUAUCAUAUCUCUCUGGCAUAAUUUGUUUUUAUUCCUAAUCAAAUAUGGCAAGUGUUGUGUUGUGUUGUCCCUGUCAUCUUGUUGUGUGUUCGUCCCCUUGUCCCCCCUUGUUCUCUUCUAAAUUUCCAUUUUGAAACUGUUGCAAUAGAAAUGGGGUCUAACAGAUCACGGGGUUUUGAUGAAGUUUUGUUAGUGUGGUAAACUGAAGAUACACGGUUAGUGUAAUACUUACAGCUUCCCUUCUGGAUAUCCAAAUGCUAAUUAAUUUCACUCUGUCCUUCCCAGAGCCCUCUUGCAUACUUCUCACUUUGUUUUCCUGCAUGCCUCCCAAAGCUGAAUUUUACUGUACUGUCCCUCUGGUUUAACGCUAACAGCUGCUCAAUCAAGGAGGCAGAGGGAGAGGCUGCAAAAUGCCAAAGGAAAACUAUCUUCCUUAGCAGCUUUGUGACUCCUGCAUAAAGACUAGACUUUCCCAUGGGAUGCAGGAGAGGUUCAGAAGCGUGAAUGCUAGUCAGACCAUUAUGAUCAUCUAGAAAAUGUCACCCUGUAUUUCCUAUAGCCAUCUCUUCUGGCUGAAAUCUGGCAGGCACGUUGUACUUAACACUAGAUGUCUCUUUCUAAAGACUUCAAAUGACUGAUAAUGUAUCAUGUUACUUGUGUGGAUUAUUUAAUCAAAUACUGCUGUGGAAAAAAAGCAUAAAUGUUAUCUCUAGUUAAGGAUUCCUCACCAGUCCUUGCCUUUUGCCUCCUUUGCACCUCCUUCUGAUCCAAUGUCCUCUGCUCCUUGUAGGCAUUUGGCAGCAAAUGUGUUUGAUUUUUCCCGCCACAGGUAUUUAUUAAAUCAGACAAAAGGGUGGGAAAUCCCCCACCAUAUCUGUGGUCAAGGUUUAUCCUAAAGUUUUAACAUUUGUUAAUGAUAGACCUGAAAGGAUUUCAAGGUAUGUCUGCUGUAAGUAAAGAAAAUUGACUGAAAUGAUGUUCUUUAAGUGGCUGUCUCUCCAAAACAGUAUCAUGUGCUUGUUCAUCCUUGUGUCACCGUAGCUGUGAACGGCAGCUGUACCGAGAGCAGGAUAAUUUAAGAGUUUUGGUUGCACUCCUAAGUGUUGAACUGAAGAAAAUAUUUCACUUAUGCUGUGUGAGUGGAACAGCCAGUUUCUCUCCCAAGGAGGAUAAGCACAAAGCUGAACUGAAAUUACUCAUUGUUUGUUUGCAUUUGCGUUCAGCAGGAGAGCCAGUGCUAGAGGGCCGGUGUUGCUGAAUCACUGAUUGCGGUUUGCUUUCCUACGACAGCGAGAGGUGAUGGGUAUGAAUAAUGCUGAGGUCUAAACGUGUGUUAAUACUUGUGCUGUCUUUCUCAUGCAUAUGUGGGACCUUGCCAUGUCAACAGCAAUUCCUCCCUUCCCCCUCUCCAUCCCUAUCAGUCAUUUCUAAAGCUAUUUGCAUGUGAAUCCCUAUGGGCACCCCUUGCAACACUGGGGCUGACCUGCUAAAAGUAGGUCUCUUGGGCUUUCAAUCAUUUUGCCACACAUAAUAGCUAAAUAAUCCUGCCUGCCUGCAAGGAAAUGACCUGCACACAGAAGGAAAGGGCAGAUGAAGGCUCUUACACAGAGAACCGCUCAGAUUGGCAUGCUGGUACAGAGCACUAAAUCACAGAAAAGCUAUGAAACUGCUCCCAGCUUCCUGAAGUGCAGAUGCCUUGAGCACUUUACUGGGUGGUAUUGACUGCAACUCAUUGCGUUAGCAAAGGGUCCAUAGUGUCUGCUCUCCUGGAGAGUCAUCUGCAUUAACCAUGCUUCCUUAACGUGUGUCUCUGCUGGCAAUCACAACUGGUUAAUGAAGAUAAUUUUUCACGUUGUUUGUUGUGUUAUUAGGUCUUGGUCAUUAGAUAACAGUACCUGACAACUAUGCUGAAGUAUGGCUGCAGCAGCAACCUUCUCCGAAGGCUCAGUUGGUAGCACAGCUACUGUAGGGUGGAAGAUGCAGGUUUCAGAUGGGUAACAUCAGACAGUGUCAUGCUUAACACUGUCAAGGGUUUGGAGCUUUUAUUUUUGCAGAAAGUGUGGUUUCACCUGCAAUCUUUCAUAACUAUUCUACCACAGAUAGCAAUGAGAGAGCAGCACUGCGGCAUUUGUAAAGCUGGUUUUGCUUAGAGGAUGGUGCUGCGAGUGCAGCUGUUGCUGGCAACUGGAGUGGCUUGGCAUUAUGUUAGGCAAAAUGGCAUUCGCGUAAUGAGUAUGGAAAAAACCAUGAAAAACAGUUGUAGGAAAUACUGUUUGGAAAAGCAUAUUCAGAUUCAUUAACAUACAACAUAACUAAUACUCUCCUUGUGCUGAAGCAUUUACUUGUGGUUAUAUAAUAAAUAUAGAUUUAUUUUUACAGAUAUAUUUUUAUAUGGGGAAAAUAUGUAGUGCUAUCCCAGCAGGAUAAUAACUCAACAUGGAGCAGAGGAGCUAAUAGUUUUAUAUACUGCCCUUAUCAAAAUCUCUAGGCAUUGCACAGUGCAACCCAAUAAAUAGCAUAAGAAGUUAGGAGCAGUAGCAAUUGUAUUUUUUCAUUAUAGUGUUAAUGAGCACUUGGAAAUUUUAGUCAGUGCAAUGUGCUUCUGGUCAUCCUCCAGUUGAGUGGUGAAACUCAAAAAGGCUUAUUUUUCAAACUGUUUGCAUAAAUAUAGCCUUGAUAUUGUUUGAAAUAUGGUGACGGGAUGCUCCAGAACUAGGUUGUCUGUAUGCAAAUGAUCAUAUGAUGCAAAGAUGAAGAGAAGGGGAAAAAUAACCCAUUUUAAGCUUUCGAGACACAUUUUAUCUCCUUAUGGAGGGGCCUGUACAACUACAGAACUCGUGGGAGGAGAAAAGGUAAGCAUGUAAACUUAGGAAGCCUGCUAUCGCUAUACCUUCUGAUAAUAAGUUUUCUAAGAUCCUGAAUGUUGACUGUUUCCUUCUAACACCCUCUCUUCUGCUGAGACCUCCAGGCAAUUUUUUCAAGACACAAUUUUUACUGGACCUAUUUACUGAAAUAAUUGGGGGUAGGCUUUUUCCUCUUCUUCUCCCAGUUCACCUGUCCAUCUUAAAAUAACUGUGGAGAUUUUCUACCUUAUUAGGAACCAAAUUGAUUUUUCUAAGGAGUUCUUACGCUGGUUGUAGAGAGCAUUUUGCUCCUGUGACUUGAGAGUUGUUUGAUAAAUUGCUUAUACAUGUCAGCUUAAGCUCUGAAAGUGUCCUUAUAAGUUUAACUGAUGUCUUUGGCUUCAGCACUAAAACCCGCACAAUUUUCUUGCAAAUUAAUAUUCUGUUUCUGACACAAUUACUGCUGUAUUUUUGAGUGGGUUUUCUGUGGAUGUUUUGCCAUUAUCACUGGGGCAUGAGGCCAGCUGUUCUGCUCUUCUGAAAGUAGGACUUCUGAAAAAUAAUUGGAAAUUAUUAAAUUAGUAAUUAAGUUGAUGAUGUAACUCUCCUCUUUUGUUAAAUUGCAACAUAUUAAUGUAAAUAAAUGGUAACAGUUUGGGGCAGGUGCAUGUGUUUUAAAUAAUUUGGACUGCUGAUUGUGGUUUUCCUGCUCUGGACAUGGCUUGGGAGAAUAGAGACUAUUGACUUCGGGAUACUUAAACUUUCACAUGCAAAUACUCUCAUUGAAUUCAGAGAAAGUAACAACCUGUGAAAGUUAUAGUCCUGUUUAAGUCUUCACAGAAGUAUGGUUAUUGUUUGUCGAUACAAUUUCCACAUCCUUCCUGGGAAAACUGUUCUAAAGCUGUACUAUGCUGCAGUUAGAUGUCAAACCUUAAGUUUUCUGCAGCAAUGUUAGUCCCUUGUUUACUGCAAUCUGUUUGCCAUUUCUGAUGUGAAUAGGAAAAAAAAAAAAGUAGUUAAAGACCAUUACAACUUUUCAAGAUUCAUUCCCCUCUGUUUCCUGCUGCUUAGUUCCACAGUCUGUCUGGUGGUUUUUGUUUUUUUUCUUUCCUCCUUCUUUUUAAUUUAAAGAAUUGGAUGCCCGCCAGGCUUCAUGUGUUGUCUUUUACUUAGGACAGGAAGACACACUGGGUGUUAGCUUGUGACUAUUAGCAUCCCUUUCACUGUGGUCGGAACAAUAAAUUUGGUGUCUCAAAUUCAGAUGUGGGUUUUGUUUGUAUGUUUAGAAGCUAUUAUUCAGCCAACAGGGAACAGAGCAGUGUAGAACUGUUGAUUAUUCCUAGAAGUGGCUGAUUAAAAACUAGAAUGAACUAACAACAUAUUCCAAGAACCACGACUCAUCCUUGGAGUGUCCUUAUUGAAAUUUUUCUGAGGACUGAGAUCUGUGGAGAAAAACAAUGGGAGAGCAGAUGUAUUAGUUAUAAUUUUGUACACAAGAACAUAAUUCCUAAGUUACCCUUUCUGUGGUAAAAGGGGUGCAGGAAAUCAGUCCAAGAGAUAAUAAGUAAUGAAUGCUAAAACCUGAUAAUCUCUAACAGCCAGCAGAUCAUUUUUCUUCUGGUCUUCUUUUAAAGAAGGCAAUAUUCUAAAAAUACUGGAAAUGUACCCUAGUGUUGUGUGUCCUGUUAAAUGAGGAUAUUGAAAAAGAACAAAUAAAAGAAGCAUUUUUCUGUUUCAUGGAUAUUCUACUACUCUAACAUGUAGUAUCAGUCCAUAAGACAAUGCCUAGACAGUAUGAAAAGACAAUUGGAAAGCAUGAAAGAUCUUCAUGCUCUGCUGCUUUGAGAAUCUUCUUUUCCU